rnacentral:rRNA from 1 species
UUUGUAGAAUGAACCGGCGAGUUACGAUUUGUUGCAAGGUUAAGCGGAAAAAGCGGAGCCGUAGCGAAAGCGAGUCUGAAUAGGGCGCAUAAGUAACAGGUCGUAGACCCGAAACCAGGUGAUCUACCCAUGUCCAGGAUGAAGGUAAGGUAAUACUUACUGGAGGUCCGAACCCACGCACGUUGAAAAGUGCGGGGAUGAGGUGUGGGUAGCGGAGAAAUUCCAAUCGAACUUGGAGAUAGCUGGUUCUCUCCGAAAUAGCUUUAGGGCUAGCCUCGAGGUAAAGAGUCAUGGAGGUAGAGCACUGUUUGGACUAGGGGCCCUUCUCGGGUUACCGAAUUCAGAUAAACUCCGAAUGCCAUGUACUUAUACUCGGGAGUCAGACUGCGAGUGAUAAGAUCCGUAGUCGAAAGGGAAACAGCCCAGACCACCAGUUAAGGUCCCCAAAUAUAUGUUAAGUGGAAAAGGAUGUGGGGUUGCUUAGACAACCAGGAUGUUGGCUUAGAAGCAGCCACCAUUGAAAGAGUGCGUAAUAGCUCACUGGUCGAGUGACCCCGCGCCGAAAAUGUACCGGGGCUAAACAUAUUACCGAAACUGUGGAUGAACCUCUUUAGAGGUUCGUGGUAGGAGAGCGUUCUAAGGGCGGUGAAGUCAGACCGGAAGGACUGGUGGAGCGCUUAGAAGUGAGAAUGCCGGUAUGAGUAGCGAAAGAAGGGUGAGAAUCCCUUCCACCGAAUAUCUAAGGUUUCCUGAGGAAGGCUCGUCCGCUCAGGGUUAGUCGGGA